CCUACGGGAGGCAGCAGUGGGGAAUUUUCCGCAAUGGGCGAAAGCCUGACGGAGCAAUACCGCGUGAGGGAAGAAUGCCUACGGGUUGUAAACCUCUUUUAUCAGGGAGGAACAAAAUGACGUGUACCUGAUGAAUAAGCAUCGGCUAACUCUGUGCCAGCAGCCGCGGUAAGACAGAGGAUGCAAGUGUUAUCCGGAAUUACUGGGCGUAAAGCGUCUGUAGGUUGUUGAACAAGUCAACUGUUAAAUCUUGAAGCUCAACUUCAAAAUCGCAGUCGAAACUGUUUGACUAGAGUAUAGUAGAGGUAAAGGGAAUUUCCAGUGGAGCGGUGAAAUGCGUAGAUAUUGGAAAGAACACCGAUGGCGAAAGCACUUUACUGGGCUAUUACUGACACUCAGAGACGACAGCUAGGGUAGCAAAUGGGAUUAGAUACCCCAGUAGUCCUAGCCGUAAACUAUGGAUACUAGAUGUUGAACAGAUCGACCCGUGNNUAUAAUAUACGUACGUAGUAUACUCCGUCGAGUAGUAGNUCGCGAGAGAGAACGACAACAAGAGUAGUAGACGUGAGAGACGCGACGACGACGACGACGGAGGAGG
rnacentral:rRNA from 1 species